rnacentral:rRNA from 1 species
GUUGAUCACCAUAUCCCACUGAACAUGCUAGGUCUCCUCUGGUCUCAGAAGCUAAGCAGGGCAGGGUCUGGUGAGGACUAGAAUAGGAGGGCUUUGUUUCACAACUGAUUAAUC